AGAGUUUGAUCCUGGCUCAGAAUCAACGCUGGCGGCGUGCCUAACACAUGCAAGUCGAACGCGAAAGUGGAGCAAUCCAUGAGUAGAGUGGCGAACGGGUGAGUAACACGUGGGUGACCUACCUUCGAAUGGGGGAUAACGUCCCGAAAGGGACGCUAAUACCGCACAACAUCCUGCUUUUGAACAGGUGGAGAUCAAAGCCGGGGAUCGCAAGACCUGGCGUUUGAAGAGGGGCCCGCGUCUGAUUAGCUAGUUGGUGAGGUAACGGCCCACCAAGGCAACGAUCAGUAUCCGGCCUGAGAGGGCGGACGGACACACUGGGACUGAGACACGGCCCAGACUCCUACGGGAGGCAGCAGUGGGGAAUUGUUCGCAAUGGGCGCAAGCCUGACGACGCAACGCCGCGUGGAGGAUGAAGGUCUUCGGAUUGUAAACUCCUGUUGCCCGGGACGAAAAGCUUCGACCUAACACGUUGAAGUCUGACGGUACCGGGUGAGGAAGCCCCGGCUAACUCUGUGCCAGCAGCCGCGGUAAUACAGAGGGGGCAAGCGUUGUUCGGAAUUACUGGGCGUAAAGGGCGCGUAGGCGGCCCGCUAAGUCGAACGUGAAAUCCCCGGGCUCAACCCGGGAACUGCGUCCGAUACUGGCAGGCUUGAAUCCGGGAGAGGGAUGCGGAAUUCCAGGUGUAGCGGUGAAAUGCGUAGAUAUCUGGAGGAACACCGGUGGCGAAGGCGGCAUCCUGGACCGGUAUUGACGCUGAGGCGCGAAAGCCAGGGGAGCAAACGGAUUAGAUACCCUAGUAGUCC
rnacentral:rRNA from 1 species